CAUCAUAGAGGUACCACUCUCAGGGAUAGAUGAAUGAUGUCUUGGAACACCCAGUAAGCUCUUGCUCUUGUGAGAAAGGAAUUCAUACAUUGAAAUCUAAUCCCUACAGUGGUGGUACUUGGAGGCGGGGUCUUUGAGAGUUAGCCCUCUGAAACCCAGAAGAGGCCUGUCACUGGAACCCAAGCACACUGGCACCAUGACCUUGGACUUCCAGCCUCCAGAAUUAUAUCUCCAAUACGUCGGCUGAUGAGACAAGAGCUGAGGUUCUUGUUCACUGCCAUCAUGGAGAACAUCAUCUCCAAAGAGCUCUGGUAGUGUGCUCCCGGGAGAAGAUGUUGCUGUCCAUCGCCCUCAACUUUAACCAGGAAGCAAGACAUAAGAACCUUGAUCCAAGAUUCACCAAUAUGCCUUUUCAGGUGACUGACUGACUCAUUCAACACAGACAUGCUGAUACAUAGAUACUCAUCAUAUGUCUCUCUCUUUUAUCUCCAAUAAAUCUGGGGACUCAUUUUCUAGUCAAGUAAAGAGAAAAUGUCUUCUCUUACCCCCAGUAAACAAUUUUUCCAAGCUUUUCUACUUUUUAAAGGCAUCUGC